GACGAACGCUGGCGGCGUGCCUAAUACAUGCAAGUAGAACGCUGAAGCUUGGUGCUUGCACCGAGCGGAUGAGUUGCGAACGGGUGAGUAACGCGUAGGUAACCUGCCUGGUAGCGGGGGAUAACUAUUGGAAACGAUAGCUAAUACCGCAUAACAGUAGAUGUCGCAUGACAUUUGCUUAAAAGGUGCAAUUGCAUCACUACCAGAUGGACCUGCGUUGUAUUAGCUAGUUGGUGAGGUAACGGCUCACCAAGGCGACGAUACAUAGCCGACCUGAGAGGGUGAUCGGCCACACUGGGACUGAGACACGGCCCAGACUCCUACGGGAGGCAGCAGUAGGGAAUCUUCGGCAAUGGGGGCAACCCUGACCGAGCAACGCCGCGUGAGUGAAGAAGGUUUUCGGAUCGUAAAGCUCUGUUGUAAGAGAAGAACGAGUGUGAGAGUGGAAAGUUCACGCUGUGACGGUAUCUUACCAG
rnacentral:rRNA from 1 species